rnacentral:lncRNA from 1 species
CCUGAUGCCGUGCCUGACUGUAGUUCUGCAGCUCCACUGAAGAAGAGGCACUGAGGACUACAGGCAGCCAGGGGAUUGCAACUCAAAGAGGUUUUCUAGAACCAGUUACUUCCAAAUUAUGUUCUAUUAGGAAAGAGAACUAAAGAAUAUGCCUCUGAUCUACUUAUUUCUCAGCCUGAAUGCUGACUUCAUCGACUUUCAAAGCAAAGCAAUAGGUGAGGAGCAAAGGAAGUAGUUCUGCUGGUGGUUCAGGACCUGUGUGGGUAGGGUGGUUCACUAGUCAUCCUGAAAGAGCGUGAGAAGGAGAAAUACUGUCUGUGGCUGACUUCGGCCUUACACAUGAUCACCCUCUCCCUGAAGGCUGUUGGACGACUUGCUAAAUGCAGCAAAUCCUGUUGAAACCUGCAAAGUUGUUAUAAAAACAGAUGGACCAGGACUUCCGCAAUAACUGUUUGGAUGGGCAGUUAAAUUGUUUAGCCAUUUCUACAAUAUAACUGUAACCCAGUUACAGGAAGAGGUUUGUGUACUCUCCAGUGACUCUAACAGGAGGCUGCCUAUGCAAGUACAAAAUGAGUGGAAUGAUGUUCUUUAGUUGAUAGCAGAAAUGGACAGUCAGCCUUCACCAACCCACCCCACCUUGUGUCUCAUACACAGCAAGUUUUAAAGAUUUCCAGGAAACAUAUUUUACCAACUUCCUUAGUAACU